GGGGGGGCAGGCUUGCACCGCAAGCUGGGCUUGUGGUGGACGCCAUGAGGCCAAGAAGCGCUCUGGGCUUUGGUUCGGGUGACACGUUCCCAGCACCCAUGGCCCGUGCGCCCCAGGCUGGCCCCCAGUACCCGGGAUGAGGAGCCCUGAGACGGCCCCCGCCUGCCCUACCCGCCCCGCCUGCCACCCUCUAGGGCGCUGGUGUGCACCUGCAGCUUCUACCCUAGGCCGGCCACUCUUGGGUGCUGCCCCGGCCGCGGGCGGUGAAGCUGGGGUGCCGCGGUCUUCCCCAUGCCCUCGGCAUCUGGCUGUCGCUGAUGGGCGCUGGAUGGCUGACGCAGCGGCGGCACUCGCAGGGCCCGGACACCUCCUGCGGUGCUCCUCCAGGACCCGCCACCACGCUGCACCUCGUCCGCAGCAUCGAAACCAGAGGCGGGCCUGGUCCAGCAGCGGUGCCGUGUCCACGUGCGCUCCCCACGGAUCCAUCUCCACCUGCUCAGCUGCCCGCGCUGCACGGAUGUCCACCGGGGCCACUUUGGCAUUCUGGAGCUCCCUGGGAAGCUGACCUGGGGUGACCUGGGCUGUGCGGCUGUCGCCCCCCUGCCCUGCCUGCCCAGCCAGGGGGCCUUGGUUCCCUUCCCAGCUGGGUCCCGGGGUCCCUGAGUGCAGCUGCGGGGCAUCUCAGGCCCCGUCUUCCGUCCUUGCUCUCCUACGUGGGGAUCUUCCUCCACAAAGGGAAGCCAGGCCGGGGAGGCGAGAGAAGCGUGUUUGAUCCCUGCCCCCCAGGCCUGGGGUCCUGGGUCUCCUCACCAGGGUCUUGGGCCACAGACGGGAUCCCCUCUCAGCCUUUGGUGACAUGGGCUGGGUUGUCCCCACCUGCCCUGGAGUCAUCCUUUGCUGGGACAUCCCAGGGGACUUGGUCCUGUGCCACUCACGGCUAGACGUUCUAGGCCCUCCUCUGGCCAUCACUGCCACCGGCACGAUCCCACAGGCCUCUCAUCUGUUCCCUUGACAUUCAUGCCAGGACCUAGGGAGCCACUCAGAUCCUCGGACUUGUUUUCUGUGUGAUUUGUUGGAAACUUUGAGCUGCCCUUACAGGUGAGGCCCCUGAGCUGCUUCGGGCUCUCUCCUGUCUGUACCACCUGUUGGCAUAAACAGGGAUCCUAGCAUUUUGCCUACAAAUGCAUUUUCCUAAAAAACACUUUUUACUAUAAAAUAGAGCUUGCAAGUGUUUGUAGAAGGUAAAGGAAGACACUGGAAAAGAAUCACCAGUGACCCAGUCAUUCUGAGAUGGGGACGUUUCCUUCCUGUCUCUUUUCUGAUGGAGCUUGAGCCUGUGCCGCGGAUACCACCUGACGGGACCGUGUCCCAGUCCCUUCAUCGUGUGAAAAGAGUUCGGGGGAGGAGCCGUGCCAGCUGAGAGGCCACCGGGCAGGGGGAGCCCCUCCACAUGGAAUAUCAGGGUGCUCCUUGGGGCACCUGGGUGGCUUAGCCACUGACGGGUCCCACUCUUGAUCUCAGCUCAGGUCUUGAUCUCAGGGUCAUGAGUUCAAGUUCCACAUGGACUCUGUACUAGGUUUGGAGCCUACUGAAAAUAAUAAAAAUUAAGAUAGAGGUG